UGGGGAAUAUUGCACAAUGGGCGCAAGCCUGAUGCAGCCAUGCCGCGUGUAUGAAGAAGGCCUUCGGGUUGUAAAGUACUUUCAGCGGGGAGGAAGGGAGUAAAGUUAAUACCUUUGCUCAUUGACGUUACCCGCAGAAGAAGCACCGGCUAACUCCGUGCCAGCAGCCGCGAUAAUACGGAGGGUGCAAGCGUUAAUCGGAAUUACUGGGCGUAAAGCGCACGCAGGCGGUUUGUUAAGUCAGAUGUGAAAUCCCCGGGCUCAACCUGGGAACUGCAUCUGAUACUGGCAAGCUUGAGUCUCGUAGAGGGGGGUAGAAUUCCAGGUGUAGCGGUGAAAUGCGUAGAGAUCUGGAGGAAUACCGGUGGCGAAGGCGGCCCCCUGGACGAAGACUGACGCUCAGGUGCGAAAGCGUGGGGAGCAAACAGG
rnacentral:rRNA from 1 species